UAGAUAAUAAUAUUACCUUUAAAUUUUAUAAUAGGUCAAUUCAUUCUAACAUCAAAACUAACAUCACACUAUUGGAUCUGUUGAACGAAAAUUUACUAUACGUAUCGUACGUGUGUAAGACGGAAACAACACAUGCGACGUCCUCUUAAUGGUAUAAUAUAAUAUAUCAUUUUCGAUAUUUUGGUUUACUAAGUACCAACCUUAAGGCCCCUCCUUUUCUUCCUAAAAUUUAAUUAUGAUUUUUACACACAUGACGGCGUUUUCGUAGCCUUCUUCAAGCCUGGCAAAUGCAAUGUUUACUUCCGUAGUCCACCAAAUUUGAGUACCGCACAACGAUACUUGAGCAGGAUAGUCGAACAACCACUGUUCUCUUGGUUUCUCUUCAUAGGAUAAGAGACACGCAUGUUGACCACAUAUUAUUUUAUGCAGUCGGACAUAAACCAUUUAUUGUUACUAAGUAUACUACGUAGUAGGUACUGUAGUAGCUUCUACGCUAUAAUACUGUUAAAUGCAGUGUACACAAUCACAAUAAUAAUAUUUGCAUCCACGAUGGUUGUAUUUUAAAAAUUCAAAUAUUUGUCAAAUUAAUUCAAUGAAAUCGAUGUUAGUACUUUUAAAUGCAUAUUUUUUAU